AUGAACGCUGGCGGCGUGCUUAACACAUGCAAGUCGAACGGAAAGGCCCAAGCUUGCUUGGGUACUCGAGUGGCGAACGGGUGAGUAACACGUGGGUGAUCUGCCCUGCACUUCGGGAUAAGCCUGGGAAACUGGGUCUAAUACCGGAUAGGACCACUUCUUGGAUGUUGUGGUGGAAAGUUUUUUCGGUGUGGGAUGAGCUCGCGGCCUAUCAGCUUGUUGGUGGGGUAAUGGCCUACCAAGGCGUCGACGGGUAGCCGGCCUGAGAGGGUGUGCGGCCACAUUGGGACUGAGAUACGGCCCAGACUCCUACGGGAGGCAGCAGUGGGGAAUAUUGCACAAUGGGCGCAAGCCUGAUGCAGCGACGCCGCGUGGGGGAUGACGGCCUUCGGGUUGUAAACUCCUUUCGCUAGGGACGAAGCGUUUUGUGACGGUACCUGGAGAAGAAGCACCGGCUAACUACGUG
rnacentral:rRNA from 1 species